CAUUAGAUGGCUGAAGCAAGCAAUGGUCUCUUAAACCAUCAAAAAGUAAUCUAGCACUUACUUCUAAUG
rnacentral:tRNA from 2 species